GACACUGGGAUGUUGUAUUUUACAAAGAAGGAGCUGCUGCAUUUUUAUACUUUUUUCGUCACUGAGAACUUUGAUGGGAUUUGGGCAAACUGGAACUUUUUCUACGGUCUAACAUUGUUCGACGUCGGUGGUGGAAACUUGGCGAGUGUCUGAGUAUUUAGGCAUUGUCAAGAGUUAUAUUGCUAAGCAAUGUAAAUCGGAUUUCUGGCAUUCAAUCGCACAACUAUCAUGCCUGAAAAUGUAUGGAGUUUUCUUCUACCAACAGCACCUGGAUACAAAUCGUGGUAUAACAAAUUGUACGAAAUCUAGCAUUGACCUCUAAGGAGAACAAAAAACCGAAAAGGUUGUUCAAUGACUUCCAGAUAAAGGGCAAGAUACACUACAAGAGCUCGAGCUGUAUCGACAAGGCAAAAGGCCACCCCAUUCCUGAUGCCACAUCUUUCACCUGCCAGCACAAAGUCUGAACAAGAUACGGAGAAAAAAAACAACACUACACUAAACAAACUAUUCAAAUUGCCAAGACAAUUUGGGAUGGAGGUGUGACAUGUUAGGACAGUGAUUCUUCUAAUAUUUACUUUCCCCUCUUCUCAGCUUCUCCUGUUUCUUUCUCUCUGACUUUAAAAAAAGAAUCCCCUGAUCCACUCUGUAAGCGUUACAUCUGCAGUAAAAGAGAAUCUAUUUGCAUAAUGAUCUGGCACAGUCAUGAAUCCCCAAAUGAGUUUAUGGAACAGUACGAGACAGGACACUACACACAGUUAAAUCACAUAUGCUCGCAAGUCUGGUAACUAAUAAAGCAAGACUUUAUGAUCCAUCCAAAUGUAACCUCAUCACUUGUUUUGAAAUCCGUUAUGCAAAUGUUGACAGCUUGACCCCCUAACUUCCAACCAUUAAUACAUGUUGUCAAUUCUGCCAGGAUGUUGAAUUCCACUUGAUCUGAGUUUGGAGUGUGUAUUCUUUCUUUCUGUGUUUAGUGUAAAUGACUGCCAUGCUGCCUGUGUUUCAGGGUAAAUAAAGGCCUAUGGGUGACACCAA